rnacentral:sRNA from 1 species
AGAACGGGCGGAGGGCGCGGGCCGACCGGGCGCACCGACCAUGGCCUCCAAAUGCCCCAAGUGCGACAAGACCGUGUACUUCGCCGAGAAGGUGAGCUCCCUGGGGAAGGACUGGCACAAGUUCUGCCUCAAGUGCGAGCGCUGCAGCAAGACGCUGACGCCCGGGGGCCACGCCGAGGUGAGCCCCACUGCGCGGCGCGGGCGGGGGCGGGGGUCGCGACUCCCGCCACCCUCAGGCAGGGUCCUGACCCGCGCCCCUCUGCGCAGCAUGACGGGAAGCCGUUCUGCCACAAGCCGUGCUACGCCACCCUGUUCGGACCCAAAGGCGUGAACAUCGGGGGCGCGGGCUCCUACAUCUACGAGAAGCCCCUGGCGGAGGGGCCGCAGGUCACCGGCCCCAUCGAGGUCCCCGCGGCCCGAGCAGAGGAGCGGAAGGCGAGCGGCCCCCCGAAGGGGCCCAGCAGAGCCUCCAGUGUCACCACUUUCACCGGGGAGCCCAACACGUGCCCGCGCUGCAGCAAGAAGGUGUACUUCGGUGAGUGCGCGCCCGGGCCCCGGACCCCCGCCCCCGCCCCUGCCCCGGGGCUCGGCCUCACUCCUCCCCCUUUCCAGCUGAGAAGGUGACGUCUCUGGGCAAGGAUUGGCACCGGCCCUGCCUGCGCUGCGAGCGCUGCGGGAAGACACUGACCCCCGGCGGGCACGCG